AGCAGCCGCGGUAAUUCCAGCUCCAAUAGCGUAUAUUAAAGUUGUUGCAGUUAAAAAGCUCGUAGUUGAAUUUCGGGAUCAAUUAGUCGGUCGUGCCUCUGGUACGUACUGGUUUUAUUGGUUCCUCCCUUCUGACGAAACAUGAUGUCAUUAAUUUGGUGUCGUGGAGAAUCAGGACUGUUACCUUGAAAAAAUUAGAGUGUUUAUAGCAGGCUAACGCUUGAAUACAUUAGCAUGGAAUAAUGAAAUAGGACGUUUGACCCUAUUUUGUUGGUUUCUAGGAUCGACGUAAUGAUUAAUAGGGAUAGUUGGGGGCAUUAGUAUUCAAUUGUCAGAGGUGAAAUUCUUGGAUUUAUUGAAGACUAACUACUGCGAAAGCAUUUGCCAAGGAUGUUUUCAUUAAUCAAGAACGAAAGUUAGGGGAUCGAAGAUGAUCAGAUACCGUCGUAGUCUUAACCAUAAACGAUGCCGACCAGGGAUCAGCGGAUGUUGCUUUUAGGACUCCGCUGGCACCUUAUGG
rnacentral:misc_RNA from 1 species